rnacentral:rRNA from 1 species
CCGGGGCUUGCCCCGGGGCAGAGCCGCGAACGGGUGAGUAACACGUGGGUAACCCACCCCGAUGAUUGGGACAACCCGGGGAAACUCGGGCUAAUACCAAAUGUGCUCGUAGACCAUGAGGUCCAUGAGUAAAGAUAGCUUCGGCCUUCGCAUCGGGACGGGCCCGCGGCCCAUUAGCUUGUUGGUGAGGUAACGGCUCACCAAGGCGACGAUGGGUAGCUGGUCUGAGAGGACGAUCAGCCACACUGGGACUGAGACACGGCCCAGACUCCUACGGGAGGCAGCAGUGGGGAAUCUUGCGCAAUGGGCGAAAGCCUGACGCAGCAACGCCGCGUGGGGGAAGAAGGCCUUAGGGUUGUAAACCUCUGUCGGGAGGGACGAAGCCACCUGGGUUAAUAGCCUAAGGGGUGACGGUACCUCCAAAGGAAGCCCCGGCUAACUACGUGCCAGCAGCCGCGGUAAUACGUAGGGGGCAAGCGUUGUCCGGAUUUAUUGGGCGUAAAGAGCGUGUAGGCGGCCUGUCAAGUCUGAUGUGAAAUUUCACGGCUUAACCGUGAACCUGCAUUGGAAACUGCCAGGCUAGAGUCUGGAUGAGGAGAAUGGAAUUCCUGGUGUAGCGGUGAAAUGCGCAGAUAUCAGGAGGAACACCGGUGGCGAAGGCGGUUCUCUAGGACAGUACUGACGCUGAGACGCGAAAGCGUGGGGAGCAAACAGGAUUAGAUACCCUGGUAGUCCACGCCGUAAACGAUGGACACUAGGUGUUGGGGGUGUUGACUCCCUCAGUG